rnacentral:rRNA from 1 species
CAGGGAUUGCCUCAGUAACGGCGAGUGAAGCGGCAACAGCUCAAAUUUGAAAGCUGGCUCCUUCGGGGCCCGCGUUGUAAUUUGUAGAGGAUGUUUCGGGCGCGGCGCCGGUCUAAGUUCUUUGGAACAAGACGUCAUAGAGGGUGAGAAUCCCGUAUGUGACUGGUUGCCUGUGCCCAUGUGAAACUCCUUCGACGAGUCGAGUUGUUUGGGAAUGCAGCUCAAAAUGGGAGGUGUAUUUCUUCUAAAGCUAAAUAUUGGCCAGAGACCGAUAGCGCACAAGUAGAGUGAUCGAAAGAUGAAAAGCACUUUGGAAAGAGAGUUAAACAGUACGUGAAAUUGUUGAAAGGGAAGCGCUUGCAAUCAGACUUGCGCGGCGUCGAUCAGCCCGGGUUCUCCCUGGUGUACUCGGCGCCGCUCAGGCCAGCAUCAGUUUCGGCGGUGGGAUAAAGGCCUGGGGAACGUGAGUUGCUUCGGCGACUGUUAUAGCCCUAGGUGCAAUGCCGCCUGCCGGGACUGAGGACCGCGCUUCGGCUAGGAUGCUGGCGUAAUGGUUGUAAGCGACCCGUCUUGAAACACGGACCAAGGAGUCUAACAUUUAUGCGAGUGUUUGGGUGUCAAACCCAUACGCGCAAUGAAAGUGAACGGAGGUGAGAACCCUUAAGGGUGCAUCAUCGACCGAUCCUGAAGUCUUCGGAUGGAUUUGAGUAAGAGCAUAAACGUUGGGACCCGAAAGGUACGCUAUCACCCCCCCCUAUUUUCUUUUACUUUUUUCCGAACUUGUAUACUAACUUUUAAUUUACAGAUGGUGAACUAUGCCUGAAUAGGGUGAAGCCAGGGGAAACCCUGGUGGAGGCUCGCAGAGGUUCUGACGUGCAAAUCGAUCUUCAAAUUUGGGUAUAGGGGCGAAAGACUAAUCGAACCAUUGGACCUAUUUUCUAGGUGGUUGAGAGGCCCCCCACGGGGCCUAGUCGCUUCGGCGGCGAUACUGCAAAAUUGCGGGGACCGCUCCAUAGGCGCAGGCUACCACAGCGGGCUCGAAAGGGUCCGCCACGGUCACAAGGCCCGUCGUCUGAGCCGAUUCGCAACCCCUUCCGCCUACGGCCCCUCGGGCUACGGCGCGGGGCCCAUCGACUAGAUGGCAGUAGGCACGCAGGUGUCUAAGGUAUAGUCAGACCGCGGCGGGGGCACGCCGCGGGCUAGCUCG